rnacentral:rRNA from 1 species
AACGAACGCUGGCGGCAUGCCUAACACAUGCAAGUCGAACGAGACCUUCGGGUCUAGUGGCGCACGGGUGCGUAACGCGUGGGAACCUGCCCUUAGGUUCGGAAUAACUCCCCGAAAGGGGUGCUAAUACCGGAUAAUGUCUUCGGACCAAAGGUUUAUCGCCUUUGGAUGGGCCCGCGUUGGAUUAGCUAGUUGGUAGGGUAAAAGCCUACCAAGGCGACGAUCCAUAGCUGGUCUGAGAGGAUGAUCAGCCACACUGGGACUGAGACACGGCCCAGACUCCUACGGGAGGCAGCAGUGGGGAAUAUUAGACAAGGGGCGAGAGUCUGAUCCAGCAAUGCCGCGUAAAUGAUGAAGGCCUUAGGGUUGGAAAGCUCUUUUACCCGGGAUGAUAAUGACAGUACCGGGAGAAUAAGCUCCGGCUAACUCCGUG